rnacentral:ribozyme from 14 species
UUUUUUUUUUUUUUUUUUUAUAUUUUUUUUUUUUUUUUUUGAUUUUUUGUGUGUUG